GACGAACGCUGGCGGCGUGCUUAACACAUGCAAGUCGAACGGAAAGGCCCUGCUUUUGUGGGGUGCUCGAGUGGCGAACGGGUGAGUAACACGUGAGUAACCUGCCCUUGACUUUGGGAUAACUUCAGGAAACUGGGGCUAAUACCGGAUAGGAGCUCCUGCUGCAUGGUGGGGGUUGGAAAGUUUCGGCGGUUGGGGAUGGACUCGCGGCUUAUCAGCUUGUUGGUGGGGUAGUGGCUUACCAAGGCUUUGACGGGUAGCCGGCCUGAGAGGGUGACCGGCCACAUUGGGACUGAGAUACGGCCGAGACUCCUACGGGAGGCAGCAGUGGGGAAUAUUGCACAAUGGGCGGAAGCCUGAUGCAGCAACGCCGCGUGCGGGAUGACGGCCUUCGGGUUGUAAACCGCUUUCGCCUGUGACGAAGCGGGAGUGACGGUAAUGGGUAAAGAAGCACCGGCUAACUACGUG
rnacentral:rRNA from 1 species